GCGUGAGUGAAGAAGGCCUUCGGGUUGUAAAGCUCUUUCGGCCGGAAAGAAAUCGCAUGGGCGAAUACCCUGUGUGGAUGACGGUACCGGCAUAAGAAGCACCGGCUAACUACGUGCCAGCAGCCGCGGUAAUACGUAGGGUGCGAGCGUUAAUCGGAAUUACUGGGCGUAAAGCGUGCGCAGGCGGUUUGGUAAGUCAGAUGUGAAAGCCCCGGGCUCAACCUGGGAACGGCAUUUGAGACUGCCAAGCUGGAGUAUGGCAGAGGGGGGUGGAAUUCCACGUGUAGCAGUGAAAUGCGUAGAGAUGUGGAGGAACACCGAUGGCGAAGGCAGCCCCUGGGCCAUGACUGACGCUCAUGCACGAAAGCGUGGGGAGCAAACAGGAUUAGAUACCCUGGUAGUCCACGCCCUAAACGAUGUCAACUAGGUGUUGGGAGGGUUAAACCUUUUAGUGCCGUAGCUAACGCGUGAAGUUGACCGCCUGGGGAGUACGGCCGCAAGGCUAAAACUCAAAGGAAUUGACGGG
rnacentral:rRNA from 1 species